ACCCGAGAACAGUAGUUCUCCGGUUUCUCGAAUAAGCCGGUAUAAGGCUAGAACUGCUGUUCUACCUUUUCCCUGGAACAAGCUUGUUCCUAAGUGAGAAUAAGGUUAAUUAAAGUCUAAAAAUAAUUUUAAUAUGGUAUUAAAUAAUUAAUUAAUUUAAUUAAUAUAUUUAAAUUAUUAUUUAUUACUUAAAUAAUAAAUUAAUUUAUUAUGUUAUUAUUUAUAAUUAUUAAUUAAACUAUUAUUAUUUAUAAUUAUUAAUAAUUACUUAAUUUAUUUAUUUGUUAAUAAAUAAAUAAAUAAUUAAUUAUUAGUUUAUUAAUUUAUAAUUAACUAAUUUAUCAUUAAUUUAUUCUUAAUUAAAUAAUUUAUUAUUAAUUAUUUAUUUAUUUACUAUUAAUUAAUUAUAAUUAAUUCAUUUAUUUAAUUUAUUAUUGUUUAAAAUUAUUAAUAAUUAUUUAAUUAA
rnacentral:lncRNA from 1 species